rnacentral:rRNA from 1 species
UACGGGGGGGAGCAAGCGUUGUUCGGAUUUACUGGGCGUAAAGGGCGCGUAGGCGGUCAGCACAAGUCAGUUGUGAAAUCUCCGGGCUUAACUCGGAAAGGUCAACUGAUACUGUGCGACUAGAGUGCAGAAGGGGCAACUGGAAUUCUCGGUGUAGCGGUGAAAUGCGUAGAUAUCGAGAGGAACACCAGUGGCGAAGGCGGCGAUCUGGGAAGAUACUGACGCUGAGGUGCGAAAGCGUGGGGAGCAAACAGG